GGGGUGGUGGGGACGCCACCGGCUCUCUCAGCUGUGCCUCGUGUUUGCUGAUGACACUUAACGCAGUGUUGGAAAGAGGAAGUGGCGCAAAAACACAACUCUUCACAAAAUGAGAAGACUGGAUUUGUGGCACUGAAAAGGAAAUGGCCGCGGCUGGAGUUCGAGAACGCGUGGGUGGCGAGUGGGAAGGCCUGGCGAGCCACGAGGCAGAAGAGAGAAAGCAGACGGAAGAGUGAAGAUGACGUCCAUUCUCAACUCUCAUCUGUGAGCAAGAUGUUCUUCUAGCACACAAGGCGCAGGACACGAAAGACUACGUUUCCCAUGAAGACCAGCGCACACCUGCACAGUGUUGUAAAAUCAUGAUCUCCAAGUCGCCUGCAGAUGGAUUAAACAACAUUUCUGUUUCCAGUGGCUGUGUGAAGGAUACACGGUAAUAAGGCUUCUCAGUUCUUCAGCCUCACCCCCGAGGCUUUUACGCCCCCCUCCAUCAACCAUCCCCUACUCUCCGCCACCAUCCCGCCACUUGGCAGCGGGACAAGGUCAACACACAGAGCGUUUUCUCUUCUCUGCUUUCCCUCCCUGUAAUUCCUCAUCAGCAGCAGAGCAACAGAGCCCCCUCCAAACAACCCCCCGCUCCUCUCUCUCUAUCCUUUCAUCUCCCGCUGCCCUUGGAGGAGCAAUGGAAAGACUAAAGAUGGAGAGGAGGAUAAAGAAACAGCAUAAGUCUAGCAAGAGAAAAAAAUGUCGUCUGGAAGGCAGACGAGGUCAAGAGCAGAAAACGAUCCUAUUUUCUGUUUCGCUCUUUUGUCAUCCGGACUCCAAAAAAACAAGACGCUGCAGCGCCUCACAUUCCUGAGAGCCGAGCAGAUUCACCCAAUUUGUUUCCACUCUGAGUGCGUGUGCCAAUAAAUAAUAACC